rnacentral:rRNA from 1 species
ACAUGCCUACAACUUAGAGUUAAUGCAUCAGAUAACAUUAGAACACCGCAGUUAAGUGCGCUCAGGCUAGAGUAGUAUUGGGAUGGGUAACUGCCCUGGAAGUCCUAAUAUUUUACAUGCC